CCUACGGGAGGCAGCAGUAGGGAAAUUCACAAUGGACGAAAGUCUGAUGGAGCAAUGCCGCGUGAGUGAAGAAGGGUUUCGGCUCGUAAAACUCUGUUGUUAGAGAAGAACGGGCGUGAGAGUAACUGCUCACGUCGCGACGGUAUCUAACCAGAAAGUCACGGCUAACUACGUGCCAGCAGCCGCGGUAAU
rnacentral:rRNA from 1 species